AAUGGGGGGAACCCUGAUGCAGCGACGCCGCGCGAGCGAAGAAGGUUUUCGAAUCGUAAAGCUCUGUCCUAUGAGAAGAUAAUGACGGUAUCAUAGGAGGAAGCCCCGGCUAAAUACGUGCCAGCAGCCGCGGUAAUACGUAUGGGGCGAGCGUUGUCCGGAAUUAUUGGGCGUAAAGGGUACGUAGGCGGCCUUUUAAGUCAGGUGUGAAAGCGUGAGGCUUAACCUCAUUAAGCACUUGAAACUGGAAGGCUUGAGUGAAGGAGAGGAAAGUGGAAUUCCUAGUGUAGCGGUGAAAUGCGUAGAUAUUAGGAGGAAUACCGGUGGCGAAGGCGACUUUCUGGACUUUUACUGACGCUCAGGUACGAAAGCGUUGGGAGCAAACAGGAUUAGAUACCCUGGUAGUCCACGCCGUAAACGGUGAAUGCUAGGUGUUGGGAGUCAAAUCUCGGUGCCGAAGUUAACACAUUAAGCAUUCCGCCUGGGGAGUACGGUGGCAACACUGAAACUCAAAGGAAUUGACGGGGACCCGCACAAGCAGCGGAGCAUGUAGUUUAAUUCGAAGCAACGCGAAGAACCUUACCAAGGCUUGACAUAUAGUUGAGUUAUUGAGAA
rnacentral:rRNA from 1 species